AUUGAACGCUGGCGGCAGGCCUAACACAUGCAAGUCGAACGGUAACAGGAAACAGCUUGCUGUUUCGCUGACGAGUGGCGGACGGGUGAGUAAUGUCUGGGAAACUGCCUGAUGGAGGGGGAUAACUACUGGAAACGGUAGCUAAUACCGCAUAACGUCGCAAGACCAGAGAGGGGGACCUUCGGGCCUCUUGCCAUCGGAUGUGCCCAGAUGGGAUUAGCUAGUAGGUGGGGUAACGGCUCACCUAGGCGAUGAUCCCUAGCUGGGCUGAGAGGAAGGCCAGCCACACUGGAACUGAGACACGGUCCAGACUCCUACGGUAGGCGGCAGUGGGGAAUAUUGCACAAUGGGCGCAAGCCUGAUGCAGCCAUGCCGCGUGUAUGAAGAAGGCCUUCGGGUUGUAAAGUACUUUCAGCGGGGAGGAAGGGAGUAAAGUUAAUACCUUUGCUCAUUGACGUUACCCGCAGAAGAAGCACCGGCUAACUCCGUGCCAGCCGCCGCCGUAA
rnacentral:rRNA from 1 species